ACACUUAUUAUUAGUUACUCUGAGGUUCUCAAUGUGAAUUUUAGAUAGUGACAUAUCCUUUGGCCAAUACUUGAACAAUCUUCACACAAGAUGUGAAGAACAUGACAACAAACUGUAACUAAGGGUAUCAAAGAACAUAGUUAAGGACUCCUGGCUGUGAUGGCCGUUUUCAGUAAGACAUUAUUCUACAGGACACUUUCUGGAGUAUGAAUUCAACAUAUUAGAAACUACAUUGUGGAGGUUUCCCCUGAAGAAAAAAAAGUAGUUGGGAAACCCAUGACAAUAAGGAUCUGAAAUUAAUGUGGUAUGAAAGUGAGGGUAGGUGCACAGCUCUGGGCCAGCCACACAGAGUUAGGGCCACUGUCUCAACAUCUGAAAGAGACUGGGCUUGAACAGUGAUGAAUACAUUAACCAGGGGGCUGGAUCUACAUUGCUCACACUUGAGCAGAGAUUGGAAUCCAGCUGACUGUGAAUGAGUGUGGAAGAGCCCCCUGCUGGAGGCAAAUGACUGGAGCCCUGUGCAUAUGCUGGGCCAUGGAGGAAGAGCACAAGUAUAUUCUCUGGAACAGAGCUCUUAAGGGACUGGGCUAAGUCAGCCAGCAUCCUCCUCCUCCUCACCCCACCCAAUGGUAAAUCUGAUAAAUCAGUGCUAAUUUGCUUUGUAUGUUAGAAUUUACUAAAUGUGAUGGCUGAUAUUUUGAGCCAGGGUGGCAAAUGCAGCUACUGACUCAAGAGCAAUGUGUAGUAGUAACUUGGGUAUGAGAAUAGGAUUGUGAAUUGGUAUGCAACUUUACCAGUGACAGUUGUGUAUCACUACCCAUUGGCAUAUAUGUUCUAGUCUAGUGCUGAGAAAGAUACACAAAAUAUUAAGACUUUUACAGCAAGAUUGGUACCACAAAAUGCUCAUUUUUAGCUCUCGUGGUUUUUCUGUCUUGUAGUUUGUUGUAGCUUUCUCACUCUUUUCGAGGCAUCACCAAGUCAACUUGUAAAUUCUGUAAUCACUUUCUUUCAGUAGAUUUCUUAAUUAAGACUAGGAAUCCUUUUUGACACUUGGACACCGAAAGGAAGCAUCUCUCAAUUUCCUCCUUUACUCAUGCAUCUUCUUAUCAACUGGGGAGUCUGGGGGUCAUAAGACUGAAGUAGUAGGUGAGGCUCGGACAUCAGAUCAAAUUGAGAAUUAACUAAAACAGGGAUGGGGCAGAAGCACCUCUCCAUAAGACAUGCCUACCAGUGUGCCAUGUCAGUUUACCAUUGCUAUGGCAACACCCAGAGGUUACCACUUCUUUCUAUGGCAAUAAUGACCCACUGGGGUCAUUGAAGUGGUAAUUGGAGUUACCAUCUAUAAAUUAAGGGGUGGAUUAUGCAGAAAUUUCUACC
rnacentral:lncRNA from 10 species